UAUCUGAGCAAUAACACAGCCAGCUGCCUUCAAAGGGAAGGGUGGGUCAGCGCCUAUCUCAGCAAGGAGAAAGGGGUGGGGAAAAGGCACACUGACAAAUAUGGCCUAUUUUUUAAUGAUUGCCACUCAGUUCCUGUUAGAAAGGACAAAAGGGCUGAACGUGAUUCUCUGGGUAUUUUACUGAGGAAUUAAGCUGUUGACGGAUGAAGGUAGCAACAGCCAGCACCGCUAAUGCAACCACCUCCUCUUUCACCAGUAGUUCCCCCCUGUAAUGGUUGUGUACUCACAGUACGGCCUCUCGAACAACUUCUUCUGUCUGAAUCAUCACAAAUUUUCUUUGGGGCACGGCAGAUGAGAAAAAGGAGUUGGUGACUCAUGCCUAUAAGCUCUUGAGUUCCUUUGGAGUGGGAACUUUCCAUGCCGCUCCAGAAGACCUGGCAGUGGUUUUGUGAUAGCUUGUCCAAAUUUUUGACACACCGCUUGGGUCGGUCCUCGUUUGGCUUCCAGAAGCAGACCAUCAUAGUCUGGUGGAGUUCUGUCUCCCAGGGAGGAUACUGAUUUUCCCUAGAAGCCCAUCAGCUGCAGCAUCCGUACAGCUGCUAAAACCUGCCUUGAUCAUUCGUCAGCAUGACUGAUACAAUUCUGAAUGCUGCCUGGAUGUUGAAAAGAACAUAAUAUGUAGUAAAGGACAGGGAAGUCCUAUGUUUCCAAAGAGUCAUUUUGCAAUUGAACUCACACAUUUCAUUAAUGGAACAGAGCGUUAUCUUCAGUGAAACAAAAUGCUGUAUUUUAUGUCAAAUUCCAGUAUCUCACUGAUCUAACAUUUCUGCACAGAAUUGUAGUAUCAUAGAAUCAUUAAGGUUGGAAAAAACCAUGAAGAUCAUCUAGUCAAACCGUCAACCCUUCAUCACUAUGCCCACUGACCACGUCCCUGUUUCACUCAUGCAUGCAUUGAGAUUUGUACUUAAAAAAAUUACAGCCUAUCUCAGGGUUGGUGCCAAGUCUGCUGUGAGACAUGGUCAUAGGAGUAACAUAAGAAACAAAAGUGGUACAGAAUGGUACGUUUUGAUUAAAAUGCCAUCACGUAUAGCUAAGGUUUAAAAACAAAUCUCAGAGCUUCUGAGGUGUGUCGUCUGCCUGGUACCAACUUUAUUAUUGUCAUAAAAAGUAGUUCCUAGGAAACAAAAGAAGACAGAAAGUAGUGGCAGAUUACAAGCUGCAAAAGCAACAGUGAUUUUUUCUGAGGCAAAAAUAACAGGUGAGCUAUUCAUUUUGAAAAUUCCUUCGGAUUUCUUGCCGAAGGUAGGUUAUAUACGGUGACAGUGGCAUUUUGGUACCUUCCCACCGUGCCUGCUCAAGCCUCCCAUUCCUUGUAGCUAUGUGAUCCACAUGGAAAUCCACAUGGGCUUAGUUUUCCUGUACAUGAUGCGCUGUUACAACUUUCCCAUGUACACAGUGAAUUUGAAAAACUGUUGCUCUGAACAGGUGCCCCUAAUCCCAAUUUUGCCCUUUCUUGCUCAGAUAUCACCAUCUACACGAGGCUGAGGGCAGCAGAAGAGCAGAUCUCUUGGCUUUAUCUGUCUUCUCCUACCCUGUAAAAUACAAACAGGGCAGGCUGUCUGCCCAGGGAUGCUGGAAGCACCGAACAGCAGUUGGGAGCAUGUCCCAGCAAGCUCCAGCUUGCUCACAGGUUGCUAAGUUACUUAAAUCCAUUGCAUAGAACAGAACCGUAUUGCCACAAAACAUCAGAACCUGACUUAGUUUUUAGUAACUCAUUAAAAUGACUCUACGAUUCUUUUGAUGUUCCGUACUAGUCUGGUCACAUUCCUUUCUGUUUUAUAGCACGGUAAUAACAACAUUCUUGUAAACAGUCAUAUAAACUCUAACCUUCAUAUUGCUCUCUUCAGAUCAUCUGAAAGCGUUUUCACAUUGAGAUUUGGCUUUCUUCCCCCCAUAAAGCAUAUCCCACCCUAAUAACCCAGGCCAUCAAGGGAGCAGGGGGAGAGAAUAAGGAUGCAAAAGUUGAUUAGUGGGUUACUUGUUUAGGGCAGUCAUACCAUCCUGUAGUAGCAGAAGUGUUUUGCAAACAUCACCUUUAUAAAUCCAUUAUUUAGAGCUUCCAGGGCUCCCAUUCCCUUCAGAAGUAACUCUCCUGUAGACACAGACUCCAGUUGUUUGGCAAUUAGCAGCCUAUAUUCUCUUCAUUGGUAACAACACACCGCCAUCCCUUACUUGAUCUACAGGGGAAAUAUAUGCCAGGUGCUUGAGCUAUCUGUUAUGUUGUUGGUAGUGAAGAAUUACAGAAGUAGAGUUGGCUUCAGAGGCAAAAAAAAAUAUAGACACACUGGUUCAGCAAUGCUGUUGUUGCUCAGUGAUAGCACUGGGUAAAAGCAAGACAACUGGCUUUGGCUGCAGCAAUGUGCGCUGGAGGUGUGGCGGGAGGACAGGCAGCAGUUUCCUGAUGUCUCUGGUCAAAGGCUUGGCACUUAAGCAUUUACUCAAACAAAAGGGCCAAGGAUAAGGGACUGCACCCUUCGCAAACAACACGGCAUAUGGACAUGCACUCACAUGCAAAGAAUUUACAUCGGCUGAGCAGAUUUCCAGGCAGUCGGUUUAAGAUGAUGUAAACCCACAGAAAUGCAAGAUGAUUUGAACUGCGCCACAUCCAUGACAGUUGGUCGGCAGAGAUAUUAGCCAAUGAUGGUAGAAGAUACUUACGUGAAAAUGUUCGUAAGUAGGAAUGCUUAAAUAUAACUACAGUUAUUUCUUUGAGGACCAGAAAUAUAUUUAACCGGUUGCUUAAGCUAAUAUUUACAGAUGUAAGCUUCAGCAGUUAUCCCAGAGACAGGAAAAUACCUGAAAAUAGUAUCACCUUAUGCUAUUUGUUUGCUGAAUAAGUGGUUUGGUAAGAAAGAAAACUGCAAAAAUAGUAAUGGGUUUUUACCCAUUUUAAGUCUUACCAUGCUACAGUCAAUAUUACGUAAUAUCAUGGUGAAAACUUUGUUAGCAAAUUGAAAGAGCUAAAUUUUCUAUAAACUAUGGAUAAAAAAAAGUUUUUAAGUAUCUCAAAAUUUUCAAGUUAACAAGAACAGAAUAUCAGCACUUAUCCUCUUUCCUCAUUAAAACCUGGCAUCUUUCAGGUCAGACAUUCUGAAGGUACCUGCAGAACUUCAUAUUAAACUACCUGUUCUUUCCCUCUAUGUGCUGAAAGUAUUUUGCUCCUUUAGAAUUUAUAAUUACCUUAGAUAAUGACUUCUUAGGACUCAGCGUCACAAUCAUAUUACUGUAAUCUAACAAAUGACCAUGAAUCAACUGAACAGAAAUAAUGGCUUAUGUAUGUAUUCUUAGUGAUUGGCAAAUGAGACAUUUCUGACACUAAAAGAGCAUUACCUAAGAUAGUGCAAGGGGCUUAGGAUCAUGAACAUAUGGGACAUUACAUAUUGUCUCGACUUUGCUGAUGUUAGGAAUCUUUUUAAACUGUAUUCUUUUGUGGAUUGGGACCUUUGCUUGCUUAUAGCCACAGAAUCGUGGAAUGGCCGAGGUUGGAAGAGGUAUCUGGAGUCAUAUGGCCCAUCCCUGCUCCAGCGGGACAACCCAGAGCAGGGUGCCCAGGCCCACAUCCAGGUGGCUUUUGGAGAUCUCCAAAGAGGAGACCCUCUCUGUGUCCCCGUGCCAGUGCUCUGUCUCCUGUAUAGCACUGAAGUGCCUCCUGAUGGACAGGGAGAACCUCCUGUGCCCCAGUUUGCACCCGUCACCUCUUGUCCUAGCACUGGGCACCACUGACAAGAGCUUGUUCGUGUCUUCUUUGCACCUUUCAGGGUGGUCUUAUAAGCCUUUAAGAUGUAGCUCCGAAAGGUAGGCUUUACAUAAGAGCUUCAGCUAAUGUGAGAACUUUGUAAAAUCCUAAAUAAUGUCUCUGAAAUUAUGGGUAUCUGAUCUAUUUCUCUGCAGGGGAAAAAAUCUCCUAAUGACUCUGACCUUCUACUGACAGGUUUUUCUGUUGACUUGAACAUUGCGGGAGUGGCUGCUUAAAGCUGGAAAUUCCCACCCAUUUUCCACUGUCUCUCCCAGGAGACCAGCAGAUGUUUGUUAUUAACUUUUAGCAGAUAGAUUUCUUGUUGAUAACUUAGUUUACCUUUUUAUUGCACAGAGGAAGCUGGGAAAUGCAUUGUUAUGAAGCACAACCUUUAAAAAUAUCUCCAUAUCCCAGAUUUUCUGUAAUAUUUCUGAAAAACAAUGUGUUUUCAAGGAACAGAGAUGAUUGGUUGAGUUUUCAAGCAUUUUAAAAUUUUGAAAUUAAAUGUAGCUUAGUAAUUAGUAUCCUGAUCAACCGAAUCUCAGUGUACCUGAAGAUCUCUUUUGUAUUAUCUGUAAGAUACACGGCAAUCUUCCUUGCAAAAUUAUUUGAAAUUUUUAUGAACAAAUUACAAAUCUACAAAUUAAAAUUUACUGGCUUGUCUUUUCCUGUAAUCAAAUCAGAAUGGUGUUGCCAAAAGAGACUUCUAUUUGCUUGAAACAGAUCUUGCGCAGAGCCUUUUCAGCAUCUCUGGUUUCAUUUGGGACUUUUUGGCAAUUUUUGGCAAUAUUCUUGGCAAUGGAUAUGUUUCUCAAUGAAAAAUUGAAUUUUGAAGCAAACAACUGAAAAUAUUUUCUCCUAAAAUCUUUCAUGAAAAGACACAUUAUCGAAUUGAAUGUUUUCUGUGUCCAUUAAUGGUCACAGUGAAUGACACGCUGAUAAAGCAGGGAUCACAGGUUGCAUCUGUUCAUCUUGUGCGUGAUUCAAGUCAACUGCUUCAUCUCUUGCAUGUAAGGAAUCCUGAUGGCACUGAAGUUUCUUUGUGCUGUGGAAGCAUGCACUAUUAAUAGUAAUAAUUGCCUUUAGCUUUCUGACAGAGCAGUGUAUUUUCACUGUACCAAGAGAGAUGCCAUCAGCUUUCAGCAGUUUAAAUUAUAUUCAGGUUAACAGAGUCAAUGCUUUGUCCAAUUAAUGAAAUUACACUAAUGACAAAUAGCCAAAGAAGCAGCUGUAAUAUUUGAUGCCUAAUUGCUAUCCAAACCGCUUGUAAAGAACAAAUUACCGUGACUAUCCUAUUAAAAUAUAAAACUGCGUGCAUGAAGACACACAGCUAGGAGUGCUCAGUGCUAGGGAGGUUUAAGACAUGAUUGAUCUUCUCCUGCAUGUACACAAUUGUCAGUGUACGUGCAAACUGAACAUGAAUUUGAGCCCAUCUACAUCCAAGUGGUGCAUGUUCUCUGGCUAGACAAGGGGCAUAUCAAUGGUCAGUCGUGCAUAUCAGCAUAGCAGCAGUCACAUCUAACAUGUGAACUCAGUUUCUCAUCACUGUGUAGAAACAUCCUGUAGCCAAGAGGAAGAAGUGUCUCAGCAAAAACUUGGGGUGUGCUCCCUCAGAUGAGCCUUGUUUGUGCCAUACCUCAUGCUCCUGUUUUGAGUACAUCUUUUUAGGUUAAUGUCCAUGACUGUCAACUGAAGACUUGUCUGAGGUGUAACAGAAAUGGCCAAACUCUUCCCUUGGUUCCUAGGGUGUUGCAUCAUAAAUGUAAGUAAUAACAACCUGUGGCUAUCAUAAUUAAUAGGCCUACUUCUACGCUUCGAACUGAGAAGGCUCUACUGGCGCAAGGAACACCAUGCUGCUCACUAGCCGGGGAAAACCUUCAUCAAGAAACUCAUAAAUAAAUCAAUCUAUUUCCCCAGAUUACUCACCCCAAGAUAGCUCUCUGUCUUCUGAAACCUGUGAGAAAGCAAAUUGCUGAAAUGCAAGUGUUUGUGGAGAUAUGGGAUCGUUUAACACUGGUUACCACCUCGGGCACUCUGGAAAGUCUCUGUUACACAAGGUUCAUUGCAGAGAUCUGAAUAUGUGCUAAACGAGCCCUGCAUCUCUGCCUUGUAGCUCUGAGAAUGCUAGGCAAGUAAUUAAGAAAUCACACGGCACAGGUGUGCCAGGUGAAUUUUGGUAGCUUGCUUUUGAUCUAAAUUGAGAUGCUCUGGGGAUUUAACUUCUUAAACAAAAAGGGCAUAAAUAAAUAAUCAGGAUUUUUUUUUUUAAGGUUGGAACAUGCAGGCUAUAAAAUUUUAUACAAGUAGGCAAUGCGAGCAGAUUGUUUAAGGCUAGGGCAUUGUUUUAAAUGGGGGUGUUGUUUUCAUUAACUUCGGUCUGAUUAGUUUUUUCACUGGGACUUUCCCCACUGAUAUAAACAGGAACAAUAUUUGGUUGUUGGGAACUAACUCCGGAAUAAGUUAAGAGAGUGUCUUUAAAAAUAGACCUUAAAAAACCAACAAGCCACACCAAAAGUUGGAAUAUUAAUUAUAAUGCAGGAAUUACUGAGUACUUCUUUUUAAUAUUCAUAAUUGAAAAUGAGACAGCUUUAAAGAUUGUAAUGAGCGCUUCAGAGUAUCGCUCUCUACUUAGAGCAUUACUUCAUAGCUGGAAGCCAAGAAACAGACUGACAGUCAAUUCUUAAAUUAUUCCAAGCCCACACAAUAGGCUCUUGCCACAAAUUCUCGGCAUGGGGCCUAUUUUGCUACCAUGUGGGUGUGGUGAGAUUGGGAUAAACAAGAACACAACUGCCCACUUUUGAGUUUUCAUCUUCCCUUAGGUUCAGUCUUACACAGAUACUUUCAGUUAGUUUGAAAUGUUUCAGUCCUUAUCUUUUCUUCCCCAACUGCCUGAUAAACCUGAGAUCAAAACUCUUGUGAAAAGAGUUCCCGAGUUAGAAAAAAAUGUGCCAGAAAAUAGAAGUAUUGCUCUGAAAGUUCUAGCCUGUUCUAUAGUCUUCUGAAGUACGAAAGCUUUCAUAUACUUUCUCCAAACAAAAUGGGUGGCUAUCUCUGAUCUAUCAGAAUGCCCUUAAAUUACUUCUUUUGAUACCUUGGGGAAGAAAGAUAGCAGAGGUGAUGUCAUAGGGCUCCUUCCAGCCUUGCUUGUGUGAUGUCGGCUCCUCACUUCAGAAACUUAAAUGUAAGGGAGGACACACACAGGGUAGAUCUCUGGAAGGGUGCUGUUACAAAGCUCUCAAUACUACAGAUGUGUUAUAGUCAGUUUGCAAAUACUAAUUUAUUCCUGUUUUUAAGAAAAACAGGAGACCAAUUUUCACUAUGGGUUGAAACCUCUCUUCAAUGAGACUUUGGUAUUGUGUGUGAUUUACUGUUUGAAGUUCAGUACUGUGGGAAAGUUGUGAUUGCAGGGUACCAGUGCAGUGUAUGACGAAGAGAAAUAGGAAUGGUGGAAAUAGGAAUUGAUGGAGGAGUUGGUCUGUAACUCUGAAAUCCAGAGCUGAGUACAACUUGUGAUUUUGCAAAGGUUGAAUUCUGACUUGCAUCAGAUAUAGAGAAAGACUGAAGUAACAAAGAACAGUUUUUCCUCCUAUUCCAAGUACUGGACAGCUGCUUUAGCACAUCUCCAGCAGGAGUAAAAUGUGCUGUUACGUUCUUUUCUGUGUAGAGCCCUGAGGGGAAAAUUGAUGCCCCUCAAAUAGGAUCUUAUCGCUGGUUGUUGUUUUCUGCUAAAAUGUCCUCUGCACUCUGUUUAAAAGAACAAGGCUGUUCUGUCACUUCUACUCUUAGGAGACCUGGAGUGUUAAUAGGGUUUUUUCCAUUUCAUUUAUUCCAUCACUGCCUCCUGUUCUCAGUCUAAAUCUUGAGACUAAGAAUCAAAUAUUUUCACUGAAAAGCACUGAAAUUUAGGAUUUUUUUUCCCCGUGAUAUUCCAUAGAGAGGAACAUUAUCAGCUGUAGUGAAGGGAAAUUCUGCCCCUUGGUGUGACCUUUUACUCCAGUGAUUGGUGUACAGAAUUUGCCUUUCUUCCUUUUUCACUGCUCACCAAUAUUUCCCACAUCUCUUUCCCUCCAAUUAAAAUAUGAGUAAAUUAAAAUGAAAGUGGGGAUUAUUUUCAGCUAAACACUUCUAGUCUGGAUUUUUCUCCAGAUAGCGUUUUCCCCCCAGGAGCUGUUGGAUUUCUCAUGAGAACAAAGAUAUUCUGGUAUUUUGACUUUGAGGAGAUCUGAAAUAUUAAUGAUAACAUGGGAGUAAUGAGGAAAUCUGGACUGUGAAUAAACUCAGCCUGUGCUUCACUGAGGUCCCAGGUAUCAGCCCCUCCCAUAUUGUUGCAGGGAAAGGUGUGCUUCCUGCAUUGCUUCGGCUCUCACAGGGAAUAAGUAGACCACACUGAACUACGAAGACAAAAUUCUGUCACUCCAGAGUUCAAGGACUGCUUUCUUUUAAGCACACUUCAAUAAGAAUGUCUUCUCAUGUCACAAUGAAAAUAAGAGAAUUUGGUGAAAGCACUUGGAUGACCUCCGUGAAAUGAAUUGGGUAUGGGACGUGUUGCCUCCUCUUCACAAGAGGUCUCAUGGUUGAGCAUCUUCUCCUCACUGAAAAGGUUAAAGCAGCCAUUCAAAUGUGCUCAUGUGUAUUGCAACUGUCCCCACUGUAAAAGUAGGCAACCAGAGAGUUUAGCCUUGCAGCCCCAUUCAGGGAGAAAUGCAAGGACAGACAAAGCCUGUUCCAUAGGUAGCUCACACAGAUUUCCAAAUGCAGUUAAUUAGGGCCAUGGAUGAUAGGCUCCCAGAAAUGAAACAAUCAAUGUCAAUGUCUACUUUCAACAUGCAGCUCAAGCAUCAUGUUGGAUCAUAUUCGUACUAAGAUCCUUCACCUUGUCAUGUUGGUCUAUUACUGCAGUGGCAACAUAUUAAUUACUAGGGAAAUUAAUUUUCUUGUCCUGCUUCAACAAUGAGGACCCUGUGGACUCUCCUUGGUUUCCAGACUUGUUAUCUCUUACAAGAGUGAUAUACUCAGCAUUUGAAGUUAAUUCUCCCAUUUUAAAGGUAAGAAAUUGAAACUCAGAUAUGUUAUACAAGUUCACACUUCCAUCAUAGCAUUAAUUCAAGACGCUAUUUCCCCCAAACAAAGUGCUAUUUCAACAAUUGCAUAUGCUGCAUUUAGUUUAGAACUUGUUUAUGAGUCAUAGUUAUAAGCAUAUGUAAUAAAGAGCCUGACUCUAGGAUCUAUGGCUACUCAACAUUUGCAGGCAUAUCUGAAUGUUACAGAGAUAGCAAGCAUGGUUAUAAAAAUAUUUGUGCAGUAUGAAAUAUUAAUGAACACCAUUUAAUUGUUUAAAAAAUGCAAAAAAAUUAAUCAUUUGAUAUUUUCACGAGUAUCUGUUUUUACUUUUGAGUAGGCUCUAUCACAAGAGGGCUCCUUUUGUUUAUUACAUAGGCAAAUUUGCUACUUGGUAAAAUAAUAACCAAAUAAACAAAAAUACAAAACAAAGAAGCCAACAGGUAUGGUGCUGACUUAUAGCCAGAUCUGCCCCAGGUAUUUUCUUCUGUUUUGAAAAUGAAAGCUUAAUCUAAUUAGAUCUUGGAGGAAAAUAGUUGUGAUAUGUUUUCUGUAGGUAAAAGGACAUGCUUAAUGUACUUUAUUUAUGUUACUGAUUUUACAGUAAGUAAUAAAAUUUAUUUAUUAAUAAAAUGCAUAGAAUCUGUUUGAAAAUGGCUUUUUAAUGAAGUAUAAGCUUUAUUAGACAUAGGUUAAUAAAACACAGCAUUACAAUAAUACAGAUUUUGUCAAUAUGUGAAACAUGGGAGCAUAAAUUGACCUCAGUCCUGCUGCAUAUGGCUAUUGAUUUUGGUUACAAACCAGGAACUAUGUCUUGUGUUUAUUUGUUUCUACACUGUAUCUGAAAAGAUUUUCCUCCUCCCUCCAUCAAAACACUUCCAUAUUUUACCACUUUCCGGUGGAAAUGACAGCAGUAAAGAUUUGCAAACCACGUGAGAAAGGACACAAUUUCUUGAUCAUUAAUAUAUUAAAUAGGGACUGAAAGGCUCACCAUGCUUGUUUGGACAUCCCAACAUUGCUGAGAUUUCCAUAUGAUUUCACAAAUGGACUGAAAGAAGAUGGACAAGCGCUGGGAGAGGGCCAGUUGUUAUGUGCCAUUUGAUUCCAUUAUUUCCUUGCCAGUCAACCAAAACCUUUGUACAGAUAGUGAAAAAGGGAAUAUUGCACUAUAGUCUCUUUGGAUACUGCAUAACAUGAAAGAGGAUGAGCUCCUCCAAGCCUCCGACACCAAGAGCUGCGGGAACAUUCUUUGUGAUUUGUUUGCUGAGGAGAGUCUUACAUAGAUCAUAGCAUCAGCACAUGCCAUCCCCUGGAACCAAAGCGUUGUUUUAGAUGACUUCUAGACAUACCUGUGAGUACUUCUGAACAUUUCAGAGUGUAAAUGAUUCUGUUAGUGCACUGUUUAUUGGCUACCUCUUGUAACUCUUACAUAACCCAUAAUAAAGUAGUGGGCUAGGCUGUCUAGUGAAACAAUACAAUGUGACAAUUAGCAUCAUCAUCAUCCUGCAGCAGAACACUCUUACCUAAUAUGACAGGUCUGAAAAGAAUUAAGCAGCUCUUUCCAUCAAGGGUUUGUGAAUGUAGUAAAGAGUUUUCUGCAGCUGUUAAGUGGUGUGCUAUAUCUUAUAGAGAACUAUAGUAUAUAUAUAUAUAUAUAUAUAUAAUGUCAGCCGCUGGGCGUUAGUUAGAUUAAUGUCCUCUCCUUAACAUGAACGCAUGGAAGGUAGACCAUGUGAUUAUGCAGCUAUGGUAAUUAUCCUUCAAAGAGUUGGAAGGCUUUGACGUAACCUCUGUGUCCCAAAUUUGUUCGUUCCAGUACUCGCUAGAGGGAAGAAUAAGGACUUGAAUCUGCAAGCCUUUCCCAUGUGACAAUCUGGUAUUGCGCCUUAUAGAAUCUGGCAAAACUGUAAAUGACAGGAACCUUUUUAAGAACUAAAUGACUUAGCAGAGACUUUUUUUUCCCCUGAUAAAUAAAUUCUCUGAUAUGCUGUUCAAACAUGCAGGGACAUGCAUGAACCGCUGUAAGUACUCCAAUUUAUAACUGCUUUGCAACAGGCCACAACAAGCUAGAAUCAUCUUUUAAGUAUUUAAUUUUUCUGUUUUGUUUUGUUUUUUUUUUUUUUUGUACAUCUUUACAGCAUGUUAGAAUGCACCUUGUAAUAAAGCAAUUUCUCCACAGUAUAUUAGUAAUCAGUAAUUAUUCUUCAGAGUUCUGUCUGCAGUGCAGUGCCUCUUGACUGGAAAUGUGAAGGCUGAAUUUGUUGCCUCACAGCUUGCCUGUGAGAGUAUCCAUUCCACUACUCACAAAGACAAGAGACAUCCAGCAUACAGUAACCCUUCAAUUAUUUCAGUUAUUUUGAUCUGACUAGGUGUUCAGUCCAUAUUAACUAUACAGUCAACAUUUCAACUUAUAUCAAGUUUUCACUGUUUUUGGUUGCAGUAGAUAUUCUUGUCAAGAAGGGAGUCAUUUGAAUCAUUAGAAAUGAGUAGAAACACAGGCUUUUUAGUCUAGACCCGAUACUCGUGGUGGAAGACUAGUUCUUGGCUGGUUAGUUCAUGCCUAAGUCCUGCCAGUCCUUUAGGGCAGGAUUAUCACAUGAAUUUGGAUAUAAAGGUAUUCAAACACUUUCCUAUAAAGGAUUUUCCUGAGGAUACUACUCAUAGUGGGAGCCUCAACCCACUGCUUUCCAUGCCCAGGAGCCUUGUUUCAGUCCUGCCUGGUGCUGGUUGUCUUGCUUUGGCAAUGUUGCAGGAGAACUGCCCUACAGCAGUGUCUCUGGGCCCACCUCCUUCUGCUCAUGGCAGGUUGAUGGCUUGCUGUGUUGGGGGCUGCCAGUGGAUGAUGUUAUCAGCCCUGGCUCUACCACUGCCUCAGCCCCAGUGGAACUGUACCACCAAGGAAGGCCUGGCUCAACAGUCUCAGUGGGUCACAAGCACCUAAAUUUUAUUAUAUUGUCUAUGAACUAUCUCUAUUUCUAGGAAGAAUAACAAGAGCAGUGCUGAGAUAGAACCACUGAUGUUAGAUUUGUUGGUAGGGACAAAAAGAUUUUUUUUCCCCUCUGUCUAUGCCUGUGUAUAUUUCUAGAUCUAGCUUGUACUUCUUGUCACUCUGAGGAUCAUCAGAUUUUUUCAUGUAAUUCAAGUGGAGCUUUGCCAAGAAAAAUUGUUAAUUUUAGAUUCUAAUUUUCAAUAAGAACAGGUAAGGCAGGACACCUAUGAAUCAGUUGAUAUGGAUAUUUACCCAAUAAGGAUAUACUAUUUAACAUGAGGUCAUACCAAACCCAGACACAACUUCUUUUUUCCUGUUCAGAUAUUCUUCCCAGCUGCCAGCAGACAAAGUCUCAUCCCUUUGUACACUGGAGGUACUGUGAACUAGUGCGAGUGUCAAACUGCAUUGUAUACAUUCAAAGAGAAAAAUGUUACAUUUUCAAGAUCAAUGGAGAUCAUCUACUUUCAUGAUGCAUUGCUCUCACUAACAGUGAUGUACGGGAAGCACCUGAGAGUCAAUCUGGAAACUUCGUUGGCCAGGACACAACAAUAUCUCUUGGUUGUUGCUGCAUGGUCUGGCAGCUGUUGCUGCUAAUCUGGUUAUCAGGGCCUGCAGGUGUAUCUGUAUUUACACAACUGGCUUCUAAGGACCUACAUUUAUCAAGUCAUGAUUUAUACUCUACAGAUUGCUUUUUUUUCUUGCAUUCUUUUUAUUGAACAGUGAGGACAAGACAGGAUAAGGAAAGCUUGGCUUUAUUUUCAUGUAGGCUCAAGACUUAUUAAAUUCUCCUGCAUCAGUUUGCUUUCCUACAAGUGUCCCUGUCUUUGCUGAAAUGAGUUGCCAUGGAGAGCUGGCAGCAGCAUGGUUUAGGUACUGCACACAUCUGUAUAAUCCACCUGAGCACACUGGGUGCAUGCCAUGUAUUACUGCUGAAUGUGGACAGAGAGGAUUUCUUAUUUGGGUUCAACAGCCUAUGAAUACAGAUCUGGCUUCAUGACCUGGCAUGGCGUCUCCUCCUGGCGCUGCACUGAGCUGGGAGCUGGGGAUCUCUGCUAACAGAACAGACAUGCCCACUUUAGUACGUGCAGGUUGCAUCCAGAUGGGUGAACUUUCUGGCUUUCAUUUGAUGCUUUUCUCCCCUAGAUCAUAGGGAAGGUGGGUCUGGCAGACAGUGCCCUGAGCAGUGGUUUAUUUGAAGAGUCUCCAGGGUAUACAAACGAAUACUCACCUCCUCUUGGGAUAAGAAAUGAAGUUACUGCAUGUAAUUUCAAAUGCCCAUAAGUUUUCAGUGGGAAGGUGACUCUGAAGAAUGUAGUUUGGGUUUAUCAGGCUUAAUUCUGUAUCUGUCAACUCCAUUAAUAACGGGCUCUUUCUUCUCUUUCCUCUGAAGGCAUCUUGCUUAAACUGUAAGGUCAGGAGUGUCAUUCUGGUGCUGUGCCAUUAAACUCCCUGCCAACACUUCCACUGGCUUUAUUAGGUACCUCCCACUCCACAAAUCACUUCAUCUGGAUUUCCAGGAGAAAUAGUGCUUCUUGGAAUGACUGAGUUAUUCUAUGAAGUCGUGAUAUUUGUCAUGUGAAAUAAUUGUCCAGAGAUAUUGUCUUUUUAUUGGAUUUUUUUUUUAAGAUUAGUUUUUGUUCUUGAUGAUAACCUCGGUUGCCCUGUGAUAUGACCAAAGGUUUCUUGGCAGCUAGGUGUCUUUCAUAUUACUGUAAGUCACCUAUAAAUGUUUUGAUGGGAGUGCAUAUUCAUGAUCAUGAUGAAUGAAACUGAAAUUUUAGUUCUCUGUUGGCCUCCAAAUGUUCUUCUUUCUCUGUCCCUUCUUGGACCUGUCGUUAUGGCUUUUGCUGUUGGCAACCAAGCAGAAUGAUAAUGGGGAGUCUUCCAAAUAUAAAUGUUCAUAAAAAUGAGGCAACAGUAGCCAAGUACCACCAAGAAGAAAAAAAAACACUGAGUGCUAGAAUCCACCCAAAUUCAUGACUGCUAUUCUUUUUUUAUUCAUUUUGUUUAAAUCAGAAAUUCUGUCAUUAAUACUUCACUUCCAUUAUCUUCCAGUUUAUACAGAGCUGUGCUUUAUAAAUGUAGAGGGAACUACUGAUUAUUUCUGAGAUGGAACAAAACCUUUGAGAUUAUCUGCUUGUAGUUUCUGAUGAAGAUCCCAGGGCCAGCUCACUGCAGCUUUCAGAACAACUUGGUAGCUGCUUGGUGAAAUGGGGGAAAUGUAUCCUUCUGGGUCUCUGUCAAAAGGGCAGCUACCUGGAAACUGAAGGUCAUGGAGCAGAAUUCUUUGCAUUGGAAGGGAUCACUCACCUAGCUGGAGUUUGGGAAUAUCUGAAGACCAUGAAGAGAUGACCUGGAAGGCCUAGUGAGAAUAGAAGGGACUGCAGCCUUUGGGAAACUUUGCAGCUGAUACUGUACUCCAAAUACGAUGAGCAUCAGAAGAAUGCAAGAAAUCAGCAUCAGAUGAAUGCAAGAAAUCAGCAUCAGAAUGCAAGAAAACAGAAAGGAUAAGAAGAUCAUUUUGAGAAGUUUUCAAGGAGACAACUAGAAAAUGUUGAUUUCAAAGUUAUAGUGUAAUUCGAGUCAAUGUAUGAUGGAGCAAUGUGGAAAUUAUUCCAGCUUGACGAGAUGCAAGACCUUAUAAGUAACUCUACAAAAAUUAGAAUUAUUGGACGAGAAAAGCACCUCAAUGAUACAUUGCACUUCAGUGGCUUCAAGGGUCCCUGGAUGAAGCCAUUUAGCACUUGGUAUGUUUUGGAAACUUAGGUAUGGAGCAUUCCUGAAAGAGUCUGAACUCAGAUGCCAGACAGGUCCCUCAUGUUUCCAGCUUCUCUGAGUCUACAUAGUUUGGCAAUAAAUGGGGAACUGAGAGUGGCUCUGAUAACAGAACAAGUUCAGAAACUUAACGUUCUCUCAGACCUGAAACCAUGACAACUGACAUUGCUGACAUCCUUUUCACAAGUCCUAUUGCACUCUGUUAUCUUCAGCUUCUAACUCUGCUUUGAGAGAAACGUCUUUAUUUGAGGAGCUUAAAACAGCCUCAGGUCUUCAGGACUGUGGCCCUGUUUUCCAACGAGGAUGUGGGAGCUGUAAGGGCCAGUGAGAGACUUACUGCUAAUGGACACAUUACCUUUACAAUCCUGGAGUAUAUUGUUAUUCAGAUAACAGGAAAUACUCAUCAAUACUGCUUAAGGUCUGAAAAAGUAAAAAGGACAACCUAGCUGAUGUAACUACUCAAUUACAGUUAAGAUUUAGAUACAUUAACACAGGAAACAUUAAUUAAUGUGACUUCACUGACAGUGUCUUCAAGCUUUAACAAUGACUUCUAGCUGCUAAUGUUAUAGUUUUACAAGAUGUUAAUGCAAUUCUAAACAUUUUUUGAAGAAUAAGGCAGCUUGAGAGGAAGGGUGUAAAAUCUUUGAUUCUCUUCACCUUAAUAUUUAAAGAAUAAAACCAUUCUGGAAUAACAUCUUCAGAAGAGAACCCUCAAAUAUACAGACAAUCUUAUAAAACACAGAGUUUAUGGUAAAAAAUUAUGGAAAUAUAGAAAAUCAAGUCUGACAGGGAAAACAUGUUUGUGAACAGUUGGAACUGUUCUCCUGAGUGUCACUUUUAAUGAUAGUUCAUAGUCAUUGAGGCCAUUAAGAUUGGAAAAGACCUCCAAGAUCAAGCACAACCAUCCACCUACCACCAAUAUUUCCUCACUAAACCAUGUUCCUCAGUACAACAUCUAAACAUUUCUUGAACACCUCCAUGGACAGUGACUCCACCACCACCCUGGGCAGCCCAUUCCAGUGCCUGAUCACUCUUUCAGAGAAGAAAUUUUCCCUAAUAUCCAACGUGAAUCUCCCCUGGCGCAACUCCAGUUCUCUCCCCAAUCCCACUUGGAAGAGGAACAGUGAAUGAAUGACUGUGUGGUGCUUUGCCACUUGCUGGGUUAAACCACAACAGUAAGGCAAUCUUUUAAUUCAAUAUAUGCAACACUUAGUGCAGUAAGAUCUUGUUUAAUGGAUCUUUGGCAUUAUGUUACCAUCAUUUUUCUUACUGAAAUUUAACUUGAUCAAAUUCAUAGUGAAGUGGAAUGAAAUCUUCCCAGCUCACAAAACAUUACAGUAGUUAGAACAACUGCAGUUCUCAUCUGUUACAUUCUAGCCUUAUACCAGUGUAUUAAUGUAAAGGUAUAUUUCCCUAUAAGAUGAACCUCAAGAGGACCUAAAUUGCAUUUUUAUCAAAUAAUUUUGAAACAAUUGGAGGAUUGCUGGAAGAGUUCUUAAGUUACAGGAUGUUCUAUCCUCUCUUGCAGGCAGGUCAAGUCAUAGCACAUCCUGAAGCUGGUUCUGCUCUGACAGCAUGCCUGCAUGCCAUGCAAUGGCCUUGGUGGAGAAACAGUGCUGUGUCAGAAGGAGCUGUUGAUUCAUCAUGAUUAAAAAAUGAUCUUCAGAAUUCUUGGAAAAUGGAUGAAAUAUCCAUUAUAGAUUUUAUGAGUACUGUCUUUAACAUGAAAGCUUUUUAAAUUGACCAUGAUUCAUACUAAUAAAUGAAUAUACCUUAAAAAAAAAUAGAAUCUAGAAUACAGGACUGCAGAGAACAACUCAAAACCUACAGUGACUUUUUGAGUUACUCUGUGGUGAAGAAGUAAGUAGAGAAAGACAAGUUGAUGAAUUAGGCCAAAUACUUUGCACCUUUAACAUCUACUGAAAUGGAUGGGGGCUGAAGAUUCAUACAGCAUCUUGCACAUCAAGGCUUUGUUACCACUAUUAGGUCCUUUCCCAUUAUGAAAACUACCUACGAGACCAUCCUUGAUGUCUGAUGUGCCUUGAUGGGCAGAACUGGAAGAGGGACAGAACUGUGCUUCUGACUCCUGUUUACUCCAUACUGCAUGAUUGUUACGUUCAUGAACCUGGUUUGGCAAUCACUGUAAAGGAGGAAAUAGUAAUCAUGUAAUUUCUUCAUAUACUGGAAAAAAAUACAAGAAAUAAGGCUGAGCUGUUUUUAAACAACCAAAGAACUAUUUGGAAAAUAAUUACAAAGCAAUAAAUGGGCAUACGUGAGGCAUAUAUAUCAAGACAGUGAAAGACAGGAAGUAGGAAAUGACAUUUUUCCUGGCCUAAUGUAUGAUAAUAAUUACAAGAAAUUGCAAUUUAGAGAAAACACAUUUCUUUUUGCUCCUAUCUGUAUUUUGGUAAAUUACUGUUCUCUGUUGUGACAGAAAAUUAAUUGCUACUGUGGCUGUUGAUUGCUUCUUAAUGACAUUGUAAUACACAGCUUUUUGGUUCAAUGUUAUUCUCAAUUCAAAUAUCUUUGUAAAUAUCAUAUACGGACUAUCUUGUAAGUAUGAUAUGAUUCAAGUUAUGCUUGUAAAACCUCCACUUAAAAUGAAUCUCCAUGUGACAGGUAAUUGGCUGCGGGCCUUUUUUUUGUUAUUGAUUUAACUUAAUGCCAAUGUACACAGGUGUGUUGGCGGGUUGUUCAAGCUUCCAAGGCACCCACAUUUGGCAGGACAAUUAAUUGUUGCAUAAUAAGAUUAUUUUCCCCCUUCAGUCCUGAAUCUUUUCAAAAGUUGUAUUUUAAACCUUUGUAGGUAUGUAUGUGGGUGAGAGAAAAAUACCCAACAAUGUUACCAUGAGGCAUGUUUCGAUUUAUUGUUUGAGGUGCUCAAGGAAACAGCAACAUAUAGAUAAGAUAUCUGCAAAUAUAUAUUUGCCAACUGAAGUGGAAAAAAAGAACAAAAAGCUUUAUAUAAUCAGGCUUUUACAUGCUAUAUAAAAUUCUAUAUUGCUAUCAGACAAAAUUGCUUAUUUUAGACAGAAAUACUACACUGAAAAUAUUAGCUGUCCGGUCUGCUUUACAUGUAGAUAGGAGAUACAAUUUGCCCUUGGACACAGAAAUAUCUGCAUCACAGACGCCCAGCGAAGGACUCAUUUGAAUACUUUGAGCAAAAUCCUGGCUCUGUUGAAGUUGAUGGGAAUUUUGCCAUUAACUUUGGUUGGACUUCAGUUUGCUUCUCCAGUGUGUAGUAAGGUAUUCAUCCCUGAGGAGUACACAGGGUAAUCUGGAGAAAGUGAACAACGCCACAGGAGUAACAGCUGGCCCAAAUUCUAGGGAGAGCAGUGACCUUAGAGGAAAAGAAGAGGCAGCACUGCUGUGGGAAUGCAUUGUAUGGAGAGGUGGGAGGAGAUUUCAUGAAAGGAUGUACAAGAUUGUUCCAAGCAUAGCAGGUAGCAUGACUGAACGUGUAAAAUCAAGAGCUGAAGAAAACACUUCUACUUUCACAAGCCCUAAGAAAUGAAUGAAGAAUGAAAAGUGUUGUGUCCAAACUUUGGAAGAGCUGGUUCUGUGAAAAGCUGUGUGAUGGCUCUUCUUUUACCCAGGUGUUUAUCUUGGGCUUGGUUCAAAAGCAAGGAUUUGUUUUGCCUUCCAGAUUUAUCCACUAAAUUGUGUUUCAUGGGGUCAUGCAAUCAGCUGUCCUCUCAUAAGAAAAAGGCCACAGCUGAGGAAACCAGGCCAGUUCAGGACUGCAGAGCCUUUGCCUGAGUGACUCUGAGAAGCUGCAUUGCACCUGAGUGGAAAAUCACUCUCCCAGGCCGAGGGAUGAUUUUUUAUCCUGGUGCUUUUUUUUCUAAAAAAACUAUCCUGUCAAGCUGUGACUUAGGUUAAAAUCAUUGGCACCACAGACAAGAAGUUGUCUGCUUCCAUAUAGAAGAGCAGAUGAUACACAUUCUGUAAAAAUCCAUAUAAAAUAUUUAUCAAAAUCUCAUUGCCCUGGAUGCCUACCAGAGACAAUCUGAAAAUUAAAUAAUUACUGUUUAACUUUCUCUUUAGACACCCAAACACUUUAUUCUGCAGUAUAUGGCAAUGGAGUAAAACAUACCAAAAUAAAACUUUGUUGACAUAGAGCUUUGUUUUAAUUUAAAGGGCUCUCAGAAGUCCAGACUGCUCAGAAAUAAUCCCAUUUUUUCUUGGCUGACUUCAACAGCUGACAGACACUGAUACAGAAGAUGAGAUGCAUGUAUGUGUGAAAGAUGGUAAUGGUAAUGGUUUGCUCUCCACCAGCAGAAAUUAAAGCCCAGUCAGUAUUUUCAGAUUGCUUAUUAACCCUGUUAGAUUGGUUUGGGAGAAGAACCAUCCCACAUGGAAAAUGCUCCCAGCUGCUGUGAGCACAGUGCAGUAGAAGCAGGUACUGCCAUGUGUGCUACUGCAGACAGUGGUAAGCCCCCUCCCUUCCCCUAUGCUUAAAAACAAAACAAGACAAAACAAAACUCAGUUUCUUCGGUGUACACAAGAGAAUGUUUGGCAUUUGCUACUACUGAGCAGCAUUCUUGCCGUGUUUUGCUAUCUGUCAAAUGGCAUGCUCAUCCUCUGCCAAGAAAAAUACUUGUUUCCAAUACUAAUCACGCUCCCUGACUACCCUCUAGUGUAUAUUCUUCCUGGACUGCUAUCUGUCCAUGCAACAUUUGAAAGAUAUUAAAAUGAUUAUGAUGAAAUCUCUUGCUUACUGUGCUGGCAAGAGCUGGGAUAUGCUCCAGAGUCAAUGCCUGUAGUUCCCAGGGAGAAGGCAGUGCCUAAAGUUGCUUCUUACUGACUGCCUCCAUCCAUCCACAUGUAGGCAGGACAUUGUCGAGCUCUGUGUGGAGCCACAGACAGGCUCUGCUCUGGUGUAAUGUUGUUAAGGUAUGAGUUGCUGGAGAAAUGAUGAAUAAAGAGCAGUUGGUAGGUAGAUCCCAGAGCCACAAGUGAUUGUACUUAUAAAAGGAGAAGAUUGUUGUGAAAUGUGUAAUGAUACUUGAAAGGCAGUAGCUGGCAAGUCAGCAUGAAUGGUUUUCUAUUUUGCUCUUCAUUUGGUGAGAUGGAAUAAGGGUAUCCACACUGGCCCCAACUCCUCAGACUGGGGAUGAUACAACUACAAGGUGCAUCCCUACAUGGUCAGAUCAUUUUGGUAUCUCCUAAUGCUAACACCGAGACUUUCGGCCUUUGAAAUUCCUGGAAGUCUUAUGAGGAGUGACUGAGGGAACUGGGAUUGUUCAGUCUGGAGAAGGCUCAGGGGAGACCUUAUUGGUCUCUACAACUGCAUGAAAGGAGGUUGUAGUGAGGUGGGUGUCGGCCUCUUCUCCUAGGUAACAGCAGUUAGGAUGAGAGGUGAUGGCCUUAAGUUGUACCAAGGGAGGUUCAGAUUGAAUGUUAGGAAAAAAUUAUUCUCAGGAAGAGUAGUAACACAUAGGAACAGGCUGCCUAGGGAGGUGGUGGAGUCACUGUCCCUGGAAGAGUUCAGGCACUGAGGGGUAUGAUUUAGUGGGCAUGCUGGGGAUGAGUCGACAGUUGGAGCAGAUGAUCUUGGUCUCUUCCAACCUUAAUGAAUCUAUGAUUCUAGGAUAAUGAUUCUAUGAAGGAUUAGCCAGUUGUUCCUCCACCUAAGACAUAACUUUUUACUUCCCCCCCCCCCCCCAAAAAAAAAAAAAAAGUUUUUUGAUCGACAUAUUCAUAUGUCCAUUUGGCAAUUAAAUGUUCUGUUUUUAUCCUCCACAAUGUAAGAGCUGCAUCUCUUUCAGGAAUCUAAAUCUGAUUUGUGUCCCACCUUACCAACAGACUAAUUAUGACUUUAGCAACAAGUGCCCUGAGACACCUCUGCAAACUAUUGAUGCUCAGAGUUGAUCAAGGAGAAGCUAGAAGCAUCUCCACAUAUUCCUGUUGUGCGUUGCAAGCCACAGCUCAACCACCACCAUUAUGGCAAACUUCAUUUGUUUUUGCAGACAUCAGGGUGGAAUUUGUGUCAUUUCUCUUUCAGCAUCUACAGAAUAGAUAUCUACAGCUGUGCUAAUCACUCUGGGCUCUCCUUAUAGGCAAGGAAGAGAAAUAAGUGUUUUUAGGGUGCAGUUUUCCUGACCUACUGUAUACAUUUACUUAAGGAGGACGAAUCACACUCAAGAUUCCUAUGCAUAGCCUGUCUAUGUCCUCACUGACUGUACUGAUAAUCUGGGAUGAUUAGCUUAACUGCGUACCAUACGCAUGUUUAUUUACCUCUGCUUAAUUACAUAAGUGAUAUCCACUGCCCAUUACAGAGCAGGCUUUGAAUGUAGAUGAUGUAGGCAAUUUCUGCAAGUAUUAUAGCAGACUGAAGCAAGCAGUGGUGCAUCCUCUUUCCAUGAAAUGGAAGAACUGUCUUUGUUGAGAGGAGGAUACUCUAAUUCCUUCUGUUUCUCCAUGGAACAGGACCUGACUCUUCUGGAAGAAGCAAAUAGGAGACAUUGACGUUGGCAGCAGUGUGAACUGUAGGUGGAGGAGUUAAUUGAGAGGUAGUUUAGGGACAUGGCAGGUUGCACUGGCUCCCAAAUGAUUAGAGAUGGUGGGGGAUCUGGUUGGGGAUUUGCUUAAGGAUCCCACCCAACUCUGCUCCAGAGGCAUUAAACAUCCCUGUGCUACCUAAUUCCAUUCCUUCUUUGUCUCAUGGAGUGUCCUGAAACCUCCUCAUAGCCCUCACAUUCACCUCCCCUCUCUCUCUCUCCAAAACCCAAUUUCCUCUCCCCAUCCUCCAAAGUGCCCUCAACUGGUCUCUUCUAGCCUCCUUUCUUGAAAGCUCUUCUCCAUCUCCUUCAAACUGUGAGGGGUCUUCAGAUCAAAGAGCAUUAGAGGGUGUAUGGUGGCAUGCAGUUUCCUAUGUUAGCUUGUGUUUUCAUAGAAUGGCUUGGGUUGGAAGGGAUCUCAAGGAUUAUCAAGCUCCAACCCCCCUGCCACAGGCAGGGCUGCCAACCUCCACAUUUAAUACUAGACCAGGCUGUCCAAGGCCCCAUCCAACCUGGCCUUGAACACCUCCAGGGUCAGGGCAUAGACAGCCCCUCUGGGCAGCCUGUUCCAGCACCUCACCACUCUCACAGUAAGGAACUUUCCUCUUAUAUCCAACCUAAAUCUUCCCUCCUUCAACUUAAAAUCAGUUCCCCUUGUCCUGCCAUUAUCUACCCUUUCUAAGAGCUGUUUUCUCUCUCCUGUGCUUGUGUUUUAUAUUUUUCAAAGUACAUUUUUCAAAAUUUGAAUGAUGCUCACUUAAGGGAACACUUAAUAAUUUUGUUUACAGUUAGAAAUCUUAAUUAAUAAGAAAUAGCCAUAAGAAUGGCCCAGGAACUUCAAGAGAACACAUAAAAUUUCCUCUGGAGCCCAGAAUGAUGCCCAGAGAAAGGUCUCCAGUGAUGUAUUACAACACUUUUUAAACUUAAAUUGCAUAAUGAAUAUUCAUAAUACUUAUUAUAGCAUAAUUAGUGAAGUAACAAGGGUUUGAAGAUAGGAGUCUGGCAAGAUCUGUACAAGAGAAAAUGCCCCAUCCCUGGAGGUGUCCAAGGCCAGGCUGCAUGGGGCCCUGGGCAGCCUGGUCUGGUGCCUGAUUUAGUGGGUGGCAACACUGUCCAUGGCAGGGAGUUGAAACUAGAUGGUCUUUGAGGUCCCUUCCAACCCAAGCCAUUCUAUGAUUCUAUGAAGAGAAAGAAAUUUAAUUUGUUUGCCUGACUGAGGUAUGAGGGAAAGCAGACAAGCUUUAGGCAUGAGGCCUUUAGGUAAAUAGUGAUAGAGAGAUUACAACCUCCGAAUUAUGCUUAUGGAUCAUAUAAACUCCACAUGGCUGGAAUCAGAGGACACAUUUCAUAUCAAGGGAAAUUUUUAAUAGAAACAACAAGUUGGUUUUGGUUCACCUUUAUGGUUUUAAAACUGUGAGAUGAAAUAUUUUUCCUACAUCUGCAAAAUAUUUUGAAUUUUGAAAAUGUUUCUAUCUGAAGUGCAAUAAAAAGCAGGAGCUGCAAUAAGUUGAUGAGUCAAUAAUGAAUAAACACAGUGUUUUGAAUUGAAAAUUUUGGCACAUUUCAGUGCAGUUACUAUUACUGAUACAUUUUUCCUGUGGAUACACUGACAUUUAAAAACCAAUCUGUAAUGAAGGGAAAAGAAAAAAUAACAUACAUAGCAUGUGGAAACAAAAGGCUCAGAAUCAGAAUUAUUUUGCAGAAAAAUCAGGUUUGAAAAUGUAUCUUUUUCUGGACAAAAGAGUGAAAUAAAACAGUUCAUCAACAGUGCUCAUACUCACUUGCAGACCCAGCAUAUGUGUGUACCACUGACACAACACACAGUUGCCUUCUAAAUACUUAAUUAAUUGUUAGGAUGAUAGUUAAUAGUCGUCCCCAGAUUUUCAAUAACGGGACGAUCCUCCUGUCAGUGCUGCUACUGCAAAUCUUUUCUUCACCCUUGCAGUGCCCUUCCCUGUGCAACUGGGCAUUUUCAUUCCUCUAUUUAUUCCAAUGAACUACAGAGACCCUGAGCAUCUUUCUCUCUAUUAUUAUGCAGAUCUGCUUUUCUAGAUUCUUGGUAUUUUAUUUAUUGCACAAGCGUAACCCACUGGUAAUCAAUGACUACAAUUACAAGACCUUGAACACAAUGAUAGAAGAAAUAAUAUUUUAUGUUUGGCUUGAAAAUAAACAGCCCUCCAUUAGCACAUUUUGCUCACCAUGACUACUGGUGAUGAAGGAAGUCGUCCACCUUGACAUCCCUUGAACCAGGCUACAGUACCACAAGGACUAUAUACACAUUAAAAGACAACUAAUUGAUUAGGGAUCUUUUAAAAAAUUUGGGCCAGAUCCUGAAUCCCACAUGCAUCACACAUUCAAAAAAUGAUUUUCCAAAAGACUCUGAGAAUUUCUGCAAGAUGCGUAGCACAUGUCUGACCUUUUCCUGUCCCCAUGAGGUUCCAGGUCCCUCCUCACUCUCAGCCCCAUAGGCACUGGCCAUCCGAGUCCUGAUCCUGCCAGAGUCGGACUGCAGAUGUGAUGAACACUAGCUGCUGUCUUUGCCUGGUAGACAUGUCCAUCCAACACUGAAUCUUUCACAAAUUUUGCCUUCAGUAAAGAAGAGAGGAAGAAAAAUAGAAUAAGAAAUCAUGAAAACCAUUUUUAGAGGGAUUUUAAAUUUGUGCUGCGCUUUCUGAUUCAGAAUUUGAGCUGCACUCUGUGUUUCAGAUACAGUUGGACUUGUUAUUAAGACAAGCAAAGAUACAGUUGAAAAAUGCUGCUAAUAAUCUGGAUAAUUACUUUCAAAAUGAUCUACAUAAUUCCUGAAAUAGCUAAAAUAGAUACAUUCAACAUCCAUAACAAAGAAUAGUAUUCAAAGCAUUUAUAAACUAAAUACUGUUGCCACCACAGUCUCUUCAGACCUACCACCAAUUUGAUAUAUAUUUUCAGACAAGCCCAGGAAAAAUAUGAUUUGAAGGAUCCAUUAAAAGGGAAACUGCUAUUCAACUUUGGUUGUUGAUAGAGCCAUAAAAUAUAUAUUUAUAUGCAGUUUUAUAUAUACAAAAUGAAACUCACAUCCUACAGUAUCUUACUGGAGCUCAGAUGCAGCACAUGACAUAUUAUAUCUGUGGAAAUGGGAUCUAUAACCUAAUGUAUUCUUGCAUCAAAGAAUAAUGUCUCAUAAAUAAAUCAUUACAGCCUGUCACAUCUAUGGUUUCACACUGUAGUGUAUAAAAUAAUGUAUUUUGAGAUACGAGAGAAGGUGAUUAUCUAAUGUUUCAACAAAAAAAGAUUGUCCUGUGCUAAUGCAUGUGCUGUCUUAGAGGUGUUAUUGCCUUACCGCUGUUCAUUGAAGACUAAUCCAUCAUAUCAAAGGAGCGACAGCAUUUCACUUUUAAAAAACUGACACAAUUUGCACGCGGCUUUUCUCUUUCAGUAAUUAAGAAAUCAAAUAAGCCUGAGUGAAACUAUUUAAGAGGUUCUAGAUAUAAUUAGAACACCUCAUUCUCUCAUAACUAAUUCCUAAUUAAAGUAAUUUGUCUUUUUGCCCUUCUUUUCAAGGGUGAAGAGCAAGUGGUGAUGAAUGCUCAAAAUCAGGAAAAGUGAAAAUUGCAGUGUGUUGAUUUGCAGUGAUUGAGCGCGUUCCAGUUUUUAACAACCACCUUCGGCUGCAAAGCUAAAUGAAUCUCCAGCCUCUAUUUACAUUGAGAAUGUGUGAUCCAGAGCCUGACAAUUGAUAGAAUCUGGAGACAAAAGGGCUGAAGUCUGAGUCUGAGUUCAAAAGUUGCCUAUAUUAAGCUUUGCACAGGGGGAAAAAAUACAGUGAGACUGCACAGGAGAGAGAAGAAGUCUGAAAUUUGCUCCACUGGGUGAAAAUUGUCCUUUUAAAAUUUUAUUUGCAGCUGUGCCCAGAUGAUGACGGAUUUAUCAUAUGAACCAGGGAUUAGUAAACAAUGUGUACCCUAUAAAGAGCAAAACAAGUCCUUGCUCAUCACUGCACUUAAUUGCAGUGGUUAUAUCAAAGCCAUAUAAAAUUUAAUCAUCAACCACAAGUAAGAUUUUGCCUUGCAUGUGUGCUUGCUUCCCUGUUUUUCCACCUGUUUAAAUGAAAGAUUCUUGGAAUAUCACAAUAUGUAAAUAUUGUUUAUGAUGCAAAAAUAUGCUCUUUCAUCUCCUGGCUGCUUUGAUGUCGUGAUAUACAAAGCUUUUAGUGCCACCACCUACCUGACACACAAAGGUCUUAUCUGAUUCAUAAACAUGUGUGCCCAGUGCAAACAGGCUGUAUCCAAUAGAUGAUUUUUCUUUUCCUUGCAAUGUUUUUUUAACAGACAGAAAGAGAAAGAAAGUGUAAAUGACAGAACUGCUCAGGUGAAAAGAUUAUUUUAAGCAUCAGGUAAAGAUAAGCCCAUUAUGACAGAAGAAAAAGAUGUAGGUCAGUAUCGAUCCUAAGAGGUUAGUUAUAUAUAUAGUCAUCUCGUAAAAUGUGUUUUAAAAGCUGAAACUUUUUUUAAAGACUUUUGAUCCAAGUGGGAAAUAAGCAGCAAGAUCAGGUGCCCUCCUAAGACAUACAAAUAUGCCUAAUUAGCAGGAGAAGAAAGAGAAAAGCAGGAAGUGAGGUCAACACUGGAAACAGGGCAAACGGAGUCAGGGAGGGAAUAAGGUGUAGGUAAUAGUUAAAAUUUGCGGCUCAUUGGUAACAAUUUUAAACCUAAAGGAGCAGCUUAUUACAGGUUAAUCCAUGAUAUGUCUAAUUUACAGCUAUGUGUAUGUGAAUUUCUCAUAAAACAACGGGAUGGAGCUUCGGUCUGAUGGAGCCUGAAUUCUGCAAGGGGCAGCUGCUGUCUCCAGCUGAAAACACAAUACUGUUUGAGAGAAGUGUUACAACUGCUAGCAAAGGUCCUCUGGGCUUUUUAGGGCAAAUUAGGUCCCCAUACCCUCAGGGAUCCCACAGCUGUUCCCCCUGAGCACACAGAGCACCAAGAUGUGUGCUGAUGGCUGCAACAGCAGCAUAGCAGGGCUUGAUCUCAGCCACCUGAGAACAGAAUUUGGCCAUUUAAUAUCACACAAUAUCACAUAAACUGCAAGAACUUCAAGGUGUAAUGCUUCUUCUCUUUCUUCUUUCUCUCUUCUUUUUUUUUUUCCCUUUCCAUUCCUUUUUUUUUUUUUUUUUUUUUUUCUCUGUAUCCAGGAGCACCCUGGGAAAUCCUUUCGUGUUCUUUAUUUCCAUCUAAGCCCUGGCUUGCUUUGAACAGCAGAGGUAAUUGUGCGGGUGAACUUCAGAGAUUUGAAGGGAUCAAACUUGAAAGCCCCUGCCUGAAAGUGCAAGCUCCAACUGGAAUGUUGUCAGGUGCUGUGAGACGGGACGUGGCGGUGCUGCCGUCGGAGGAAUCCUUGCACAGGGACAGUCUGAACCUGCGCAGCGCUCCCUUUGCACAGCCCCUGCAGUUAGCAAGGCUCCCAUAACCCACAGCAGUGCUCAAAUGAGGCAGUACUGCCCUCUCUGAUCUAUAAAUGGGUGUGUGUGAUGAUGUGACUUGAUGAAGGUCAUCUAUGUCAGACAGUGGCAGAGGGUGAAGAAACCAUCCUGAUGUCUAUUUUCAGGUUUUCCCUGAGCAUCAGAGCAGAGAAGCCAAAGGGAUGCAGGUCUACAUCGUUUAUGAGAGCUACAUGUUCCUCUGGCUAGAAAAUCCUGGGGGAUUCAAUAAUAAUAAUAAAAAAAGAAGAAUCAGGGAAGAACUGAGAAGAAUAUAAUAGAAGUUUGCAGAUGGGGAAUUUCAGAAACCAGCAAAAUUCACGGAAGGAGAUUGUUACAAAACACAGCCUUUGCAAUGGAUUUAUACAUUCUUUUAAAUUUUACACGACAGCCAAAACACUCCAGAUACGCUUCCUCCCUCUGCCAGUUUUCCUCGAUCUUCUCUUUGAGCACAGGUGAAGUUCCUCAUGUUCCAAGACAGGGCAGGGUAUGUUCUGCUGCCAUUUCCCACACCCUUCUCAUGCCGUAUCUGACUAUCAGCACUGCUGCAAUCCAGGAAAACAGGAAACAUCAGAGCCAGUUGGAUUUUUCAACUCCUGAAUGUGUUUUGUUCAGAGUUCCUUUGGAAAAUAAUCAGGAAAACAAAAUAUGUUUUUACAAUUGUUUUUCCCCACUGGGUUUCAGACAACAGCAGCUAUAACAUGAAGUGAAAAAUAUAUUUAUUUCUUCUUCAAUCAAAAAUAUUUGGCUUGACCAAGAAAAUCUAUCUUAGUAAUCACAUACUGUGUCAAUGCCAUCCAUCUUCUUCUACAAUAGCUAUUGUCAUCGAUAGUGAAAGUUUGUUUCCUGUAGUAAGAAGCAUGGGAGAUGUCCUUUCUUGUUCCGUAUUUUGUUCUGCUUUGCCCUGUCAUAAGGCUAUUAACUACACAGUUACGUUUCAUUUUAAGAUUCUCAGUUAACACUCCCUGUCUUUACACUGCAAACUGUUUCAUCUUCUGAAUUGCGAUCUGCCAGUGGCUGAUGCUGGCAACACAGCACAACGUACAGACUUCUGAUCUCUUUUGGCCUGCAAGCUUUUCUUUCCUAACUGAUGGAUGAAAACCAAUUCCCUGUGCAAUUUGCUGAACUUUACUGUGGUUCUCAGUGCCAUUUCAAUUUAUGCCUAAUAGGUGGAGAAUCACAGAAUCACAGAAUGUCCCCGAAGAUCACUGAGCCCAUCUCCUGGCUCCACUUGGGGCUCCCUAAGAAUUAAACCAAAGACAUGUGAAUGCAAACUGAUUCAGAUGAAAUCCAUGACAGUCCUUCCACUUCCGGCCCUCUCAUAUGGGCAGACCCUUGCUUCAUUCUCACUUACUAUUGAAUAAAUAGUAUACGACUUUUGUGGAAUCAGCUAAGGAUUAGUGUUCCACACUCACACUUGUUGCCAUCCGUCUCUUUUCCAAAUUAUCCAUUUCAGCCACUGUGUGUGUUGAAGAGGUGUAAAACAUUGGUCUGAUAUGUGUGUGCUAUUACAGGAAGAAAUACAAGAGCAAACUCUCCUCUAACCCAUUUGAAUGCUUGUGAGACUGUUGGAGUUGUUGAGGUUCAAGGAAUGCCAUCUCCCAGGCUCCUCAUUGUCAUCUUCUUGGUAUCUGAACAUCUGGGGACAGCUGAGUCUGUGCAAGUUCAGUAGGAAAAGGAAAAUUAGUCAAAAGUACAUUUCUGCUCUGUAAGUGGUGUAUUUAAUUUCCAGCUAUGGAACAAAACACAAUUACCCAUGGUCCAUUUUUUCUGGGGUCAAGGCUGGCUAGAUUGUUGUAAUAAUCGUAAUAACACUCCCUCACUUGCUAUUUACCUUGGGAGCUAUUUGCUGUCCUUUGUCUGCAUCUGACUGUUGUGUAGGGACUGUGCCACAUCUUUGUGGUACAGCGUGUGUUUGGUUGCAGGGAUCUUUUGUGUCAGAAAAGGUAAACUUUGCACUCACAUAAAUUCUGUACUAGCCAGGACACAGUGAGACCUAUUCAGACUACUCACUUUCCUGAUAUAUGUAGCCACAUAAUCAUGGAAUAAAGACUCUGCAAAGUAUAUAGUGUUUUAAAGAUAAUUUGUACUACAGCAGCGCAUAGAGGAAGGGGUGCUUGGUAUGAAUUACAUAGAAAAAGUAUACUUCACCAUGACCUGGGGAUCAGUUGCAGAUUCAACUCCAGUUUGGUUUGGCCAGAUGUGCAAAAGCUAGGAGGAAGGUGUAGAAAGCACCAGUGUAACCAUGUGAAACCAGGCUUUGAAAAAUAAAGAACUGGCUCAAGAUCACAGGACAUGAUCUAUGGAAGAGAAAGAAGUUUUGCAUGUAUCUCCCGAAUUGCUCUGUAGUGUAGUAACUAGUAUUCCCUUUACUCCCUUGAUGCUAUAUGGGAUGUAAAAUAAUGCUCAGUUGCUGACCUCACAUACAGCAAACUGACCCAUUGUUUUCUAGGGAAAUUCAGCCAUGCAGAAAGGAAAUGCUCAGACAUCUAAAUAGCAAAACCAAAGCACUUAUGACCUUUUCUCCUGCCAAGAUCAAAGCAGCAACUUAUUUUCUCCUUUUUUCAAAUUUUAGUGACAUUAGCUAAUGUCACUGCUAAUGUCAACGUGCCAAGGUAUCUUGGUGCCAACUGAACAGCCAGGACUGGUAUUGCAAAGAUACUAAUGAUGUGCUGCUGCUGUCUCAAAGGGAUCCAUGCUGCCAGGCGCUUGUGAAGGACAAGGAAUAAUUUGUACUUUGCAUUGAGCCUUUCACUUGCUUGCAAAAGGUUGCCUGAGUGGAAUGGGACACACAUCAUAAGCUCAACACUUCUUUCAAAUUCCAAACAUACUUUCCUAACUCCACUUAUUACUAAAAUCAUGAUUUUAUCAUUCAAGAGCCCUAGCAAAUCAGCAGAGAAGAAUGUAAGAAAAUUCUACUACUGAGAUCCUAGCCUUGUUGUUCACAGGAAGUUAAAGCGAAACUCUUACAAGCAGAGCAGAGAUGCUUAACAGUCCUUGUGUGCUCACAAAGAAAAUAGAUUUUGUUUAUCAUUUAGAUCAAAAGAACAGGCAGAUUUUUAUUGAUUUUUGAGAUACAGCACUGAUCUUUGCCUCUGCGUCUAAUGGCUGUGAGCACUGGGUGCUACAGUAAUAGUGAGGAAAUAUAGCAAUUUUACACUGUUAAAUCUUUAUCUUGACUGUCUCUAAUUUAUCCAUCUUUAAUAAACCCCACUGCUCUGCAGCUGGUAACUAAAUCAGAGGCACAAGCACAACAUGAAGAGGACAAACUGAAGCCUUCUCCACAAGAUAUGAGGAAAGGACAUGACCUGCAAAUACACUGCCGAAAAGGCUGUGUAUAUCUUAAAUCUCAAUAAAUUGCUUAUUGUGGUGAUUUGGGAUAGCGUGGUGGCACAGCACUGAGUUUCAGCAAAGAAGGAGCUAUUCAGAUUAGCUGCUCUCCAGGGCUGUGGGCCCAGCUCCCUCAGGAUCCAAUGAAAAAAAGGAAUUUGUUCAUACAGUAUGAAUAGAGUUUCUGCAAGUGAAUCAAAAUCUAUUCAUAGUGAAUAGAAUCAUAGAAUCACUAAGGUUGGAAAAGACCACUAAAAUCUUCUAGUCCAACCAUCAACUCAUCCCCACCAUGCCCACUGAUCAUGUCCCUCAGUGUCACAUCUCCACAGUUCUGGAACACCUCCAGGGACAGUGACUACACCACCUUCCUGAGCAGCCUGUGCCACUGCAGCACCACUCCUGAGAAGAAAAUUUUCCUAAUAUCCAAUCUGAACAUCUCCUGGCACUACUUACAGCCAUUACCUCUUGACCUAUUGCUGUUACCUGGGAGAAUAGACCGACCUCCACCUCUUGUCUUGGUGGCAGUAUUUGAAUAGCUGGUCUUGCCAUUUGCUUCUUGACUUCUUUGGUUGAAAUGCCAGAAGAGACUUGUAAUCCCACUUUGUGCAGUCUAAAAUAUGACCAUAACUCUUUAUCUUCUGAAGCUACUGCAGCUACUGAAAAAGGGUAGUAAAUUACCAUCUGACAAUGGGAAAGGAAAAAUGCUGUUCUAGACUCUCUGCUUUCAAAAUGUUCUUCCUUACCUGAAAAGUUUACCUAGUUUAUUCAAUAUUCAUGCUUUUCAGACAUGAUGCCCUUGCUUCCUAUGUUCAAAUUGUAAGGAAGUAUUAUUGCCCAAUGCCAGAAACUUGCAACUAUUCUUUAAUACGCUAGGUGCACUGACAUAUUUGCACUCAGACUCUUACAUAAAUUUCAUUUUCCAUUGAAACAAAAGAUUGUACCUUUGCAGGUCAUGAGGUCACCAAAAAGCCAACUACUAUUUUGUUAAAUUAAAGAUCUGAAUUUGUUCUGCAACAGGAAGGUUUGAGGGAUUUCAUAGACAUGAAUCAACUUGGAUUUUUGAAAAUUGGGGUAUUUUUACUUCUCAUUUUACUGGCAUAACAGUGAAAGAUGUACUUCCAGAAGACAUAUUUGUAUAUCUAACUUCUCACUUUUCAUCACUGUCUAUAUGAUAACUGUGACUGCAGUUUUUUUGCACUGGUAAAAGAGAAUAUCAGUUGUGCAUCAGCUGUGCUCGUCAUAAGAGACUCUUAAGUCUUAGCCAAUGUGAAUACAGAGGAGUCUAUACUUUUGCACAGACAAAAGCUUCUGACCUUCUUUACUGGCAGAGUGAAAAUGAGUGUUAGCCUCCUUGCUCAGGCAGCAUUUCAUCCUAUGAGAUCAUUUUAGUUCCUUUUAAUAACUUGUAUUUGUUUUGUGAGGUAUUUAGGAAGCGUUGGCAGGUAGGGUGCAUGAGUGAAACUCUUUCUUAUGUUAGAGCUAUUUGGAAUAGAAGACAAUUGAGAUUAGCUGAUGACUGAGUAUUCUUAGGGAAUGAACUUCUCUCUUUGAAACUCUGAGCUCAUGUGUUACUACAUUUAACUCGCAGCUCUGUCAGGUUUACAACGGCACAGGGGCAUGCAGGGUGCACGAUGGCAGCAGCGAUGGGGGAUUCACUGGGUAACGCUGCAGGUGCACGUGUUGCUCAUGGCAGCAGCUCCAGCCAGAAAUGCUGCUUUUAUCGAGGUCAUAAAUCAUGUCAGCCCUCCUGAAUACAGUUUUUCAAAAGGGUGAAGCCAUGGCUUGUGUGCUGGAUAUUUAUCUUGCUCUUCCUAAUGCUUUCCCAAAAGCUCUCCUUGAAGGCGGUAAACAGUUCUUUUGGCCAUAAUUAGAACUAAUUGAUUGCUAGAGGGGUUUUAGACCUGUGUCAAACCAAAGGGACAGAGAUGGGAAGAGGAGGCUGAUUCCCAGGCUGUUUCCUUGGCCGUGUACGUGGGCACACAUCAUGGAAGGGAUGAGUUCUAUUGACCCAAGGCAGUGGUGCUCAGGUGUCUGGUGAGUGUGGUGGGAGCCUCUCUGUACUCUGCUGUGGCUGCAGAGACGAUGUGAGCUUUGAACACUCACUCCACGCUCUGCAAAGUGGCAAUGUGGCCCCUGCCAUCCCCGAGGCUGGGCUGAAAGCUCUGAAGUUUGCAGAGAAACAUGCUGCGUCAGGCACAACCAGGCUGGCCCCACAUAAAGUCAAUACUUGUGUGAAAACAAAUAAAAUCUUAGAGUACGAGGCAGAGGCUAAAGAAUGCCUUCACCUCUUUCCUUCAAGCAACUAUUUUGUUAACUUGAAAGACGGCAGGGGUGAUCUUACUCCAUUCUUUCUCUACAGGUCAAAUACUUGUCAUAGGAGACACCCUAGUUAAUAUUAAACUAAAAAUUAAUAGAUUAGAUAACUAUUAUAUGCUUUUAGUGCCAAUUAAUUUAAUAGCUGGUUUUUUUUGUUUUGUUUUGUUUUCUCUUUUUCUAGCAAGGUAGGUGAAUAUAGCAGCACAGUUUACUGUGUCUGUAUGAGCUCUCAGAUGGGUCUUUUGUGCUACAAUUACCACCAAUUGAUUGGACUGACACAUGUAAUCCCCUUUGGAUCACCCAACGAUAUGAUGUCAGUAAGAAGUCCUUCAAACAGACUAUUAAAAAGCACAUUAAACAUGUCCUUAUUGUAAGCUUUAUGCUAGCUUAUGCUAAAAUAACAGUGAUACAGUGGUAUUUGUUUGAAAAUGAAAGGAUUAUAUGGUCUUUGUAAAAUGAGGAAUUUAGUAUUGGGAGGGGCAGUGGGAUGGUGAUUUAUUUUUUGUUUAUGUUCUUCCGAAUCCUUUGAUAUGUCAACUUCUGUCACUAACCAUUAGGCCACUUGUAAUUUCUUGUAUCAACGAAGAUGAAAUACAUACUGCCUCCAAUAAUUUAUGUCAAAUAUUGAAGGGCAUGGAUGGUAGUGCUUAUUGUGAGAUUAUAAUGAGAAUUGAACUGGGGGCUUCAGAAAUCCAUAGGUAAUUUAUUGUUAAAGAGCACGCAUGAAUCACUCCGGCCUUUAAUUGUCAUGUGGAUGCAUUUUGCUUUCAGCUUGCGCUGGAAACAAAUUGCUGAAAUGGAAUGAUAACUCAGAAGAAAGAUUUCACCAUGACCCUUUGUACUUAUUAAUAUAGUGCCAAGAGUGUAAUGAGUGCCAUGCCUUCUCUUGGGUCAGAUUCUGGUGCGUAGUGAAAGGAAUGCCUUGAAAUUUGUAUUGCUUUUCAUGAAGAAGAAAAACAUAAACAGCAGCAUAUACACCUCGCAAGCAAGGGAUGAGAGUCAAAAAGAUUUGUGGUAUUUAUAAUACUGCACAAUAAAGGUGACCAGGGGAUUUUAUAGGAUGAUUUAACACUGAACUGUGCAAAGAAAUUAAGCCGUUCUGGAGAUUUCUUUGUAACGCACCAACAUCCUCAUCAUCCCUCUUUGCUCUGCUCUCUUUUUAUCUUACAACGUCAAGGUAACACUCCAAAGUGGUUAACCAACUGCUGUGCAUAUCUUACAUAGAUGUGCUGCUUUAGAUCAUGCUGCUGCUCCCAGAGAGAGAAAUUUCAUUGUUAACCCGAAUCUAGGUGUUUUUGUCAAAAAAAAUCAAAGCUACCAGAAAAUGGAUAUAAAUUAUUCGCAGGGUCUGGUUUUCUGACUGCUUUAAUAUCAUGUAAUCAAAGGACAGAUUACUCAAAAUUACUCCUCUUGAGUGCUUCAGUGUAGUCAUCACAGCACUUCUCUGCGACUACUUCACAGUUUCUCAUAAUGUAAGAAUUAGGGGCUACGCAGUGAAACUAGGAAACAGCAAGCUUAAAAUAUACAAAAAAAAAAAAAAGAAAGAAAAAAAAGGGGAUUUGAAAGCAUUUGAAAGCAGGAUGUGUGAUCAAAAUGAGGUACAACUUGACACAGAAAUUUAUGGAAGCCAAAAGUAUAAAGUGUAGAAGAAUUUAACAAAGUCACGAAGGAUAGAUUCUCUGGUGACUUUUAAGCUAAAUGGUCUUGAUGUGGUCACUGUUUUUAGGAGUCCAUUACCCAGAAUGACUAUGAAGAAUGAAUUACAUUUGGGAAGGAGAACUCUGAAUUUGAUCUAUCCAUUUGCUCUUCCCCUGCUGACCACUACCAGAGACAGGACUCUGGCGUAAACUGCCUUUAUGCUUUGUGGCUGCUCUUACAUCCAUAGAAAACUCUUGUAGCCAUUAUGAAUAAUGAAGUGUGUCUUUCACAGAAUCACAGAAUCGUACAGGUUGGAAGGGAGCUCUGGAGAUCAUCUAGUCCACCCUGACAACUCACCCACACCAUGCCCCCUAACCAUGCCCCUCAGUGCCACAUCUCCACAGUUCUUGAACACCUCCAGGGACGGUGACUCCACGACCUCCUUGGGCAGCCUGUGUAACUGCAGCACUGCUCUUUCUCAGAAGAAGUUUUUCCUAAUAUCCAACCUGAACCUCCACUGGCGCAACUUUACCUCUCAUGCUAUCACUAUGCUGUUACUCAGGAUAGUAAAGAGGCAGUACACGGAAGAUCUUUGAUGUUUCAUUCAAAUUAUUUAUGGAGGAGGAACUAUUUUCUAACAGAUUUUUUUUUUUUUACAUUAGUAUGCUGUAAAUUGCUUUGUCUAUGAAGAUAUCAGAGCACUUACCAAUCCAGAGUAGCUUUUCAUAGAAUACGUUCGCUACAAAUAGCUAUAGCACAGCCUAAACUGGACUGUUAGUUAAUCCCAGAUAAAAUCCAUCUCAGGUUCUCCUACAAAUAGCACAUGUUCAAGACCAAGCCCUGACACAUCAGUGAGUAAACCUCAAUAAGCUGCUUCAGGAUAGUGCCACUACAACAGCUUCAUAACACUUGCAAGUGCCAGUAAAGGAUGCCGAAGUGUUGGUUUGCCAGGACUGGAACAGAGCAGCGACCACAGGUGCUUAUUUUCCCUUUUUGUAGUUCAUCGGUGUCAUGCAACUGUUGGCUCAGUCAGCAGAUGUGUCAGCUCUUGGAAUAACAGCUACUUAUGUAGGUUAGGUACAGUGCCAAAAGGUAAGUGUUAUAAAGAGUAAAACUGUAAAGAAUUAUGAACAUAAAGCCUGUGAUAGUAAAGGUGACUCCUUAGCAUUAUGCGCCACAGCAACAUAUUUUACCAAGGGCAGGAAAAGUCAGCUUUAUUUUCACCCCGUCACAAGCCGUAAGUGCUGAGCUAUGUGCAAUUUCCUGUUGGAUUUAAAUAGACACAUUUCUGAGCCCUAAUUUUUACUCUUUUCAUCUCUAGUAAACAAAUUGCCAAUUAAUAAUUAUGAAUUGAUCUCACAUGGCACAAACCUGUGCAAAAUAAUGCAGUAUCCCACUACCAUGCUUUUGGUAGCACUGUGAGCACAUCUGUAUAGAAGUUAUAGUUCAGAAAGGAGGAAAGCCCAGCACAGGACCCAGAACAUGGUCAAGGACCAAGAGCACCUGACUCACAGGGAGAGGCUAAAGAAACGGUUUGUUUGGUCUGGCAAAGAGGAUAAGGGGUAAUGUAAUAGCACCUACUUGACAGGGAGUUACAAAAAAAUGACAUAGCCAAACCUUUCUCAAUGGUCCUAGACAAUGUAACAAGGGGCGAUGGCCACAGAGUGCAGCUUGGCAUGCUCAGGUUGGACAUUGGGAAAAAAUGCACUUGAAGAGUGUUGCAGCACUGGAACAGGUGCCCAAGAGGUUGUGGAAACUGUCCUUGGAGAACUUUAAGACUCAGUUAGAAGUUAAGCACAUCUGCAGCUGGCAAAUGUCCCAUGUCAUGUGGGAGUUGCAUGAGAGGCCUCCAGAUCUUCCUCCCAACCACCAUUUCUAUCUACUCUUUCAACUCUCUGCUUUAAUAAUUUAUACCUUAAAAGAGUGAUUUGCACCUCUGCUUUUUGCACACUCUUAAGUUGGCCUCUCAACCCUGGAGAUUUAGGGUAAGAAGUCAGUACUAUUUCUUCCUUUCAUUGUGCCUUGGAUGAAUCAAUGAAGUGGUCAUACUCAGAGGAUGUCUGCCAGGAGUGAGCAGUGUUGUGAGAAUGUGCUUGUGCUUGUGUAUAAAUCCAGCUGUCAUGCCACUAUCACUAACAGAAUGCUUCUGAUAUGCUCAGGAGCAGAACUUUAGGUGUCUGCUGCUGUCAGUCACUGGCGUGGUUAGACAGCAGUACAGUGUUCAUGGAGUUCAGAUUUUGGAUUUGGACAACUGAUGAGCUUGCUCAGCUCUGUGCUUUAGCGAGUAAUUUGGUUUAAAUUCUUAGGAAUUAAUGUUUAUGAAACCAGAUGUAACUGAGUCCCAGUGCCUUUGCUAUAUAAAUG
ensembl:lncRNA